rnacentral:ncRNA from 1 species
CUGAUUACCGCGCAUGGGUCGACGUUCGUGCAACGAGCCCGUUCCCCCUGAAUACGGGGGAUGCGUCAUUAUCAG